GACGAACGCUGGCGGCGUGCUUAACACAUGCAAGUCGAACGGAAAGGCCCUGCUUUUGUGGGGUGUUCGAGUGGCGAACGGGUGAGUAACACGUGAGUAACCUGCCCUUGACUUUGGGAUAACUUCAGGAAACUGGGGCUAAUACCGGAUAGGAGCUCCUGCUGCAUGGUGGGGGUUGGAAAGUUUCGGCGGUUGGGGAUGGACUCGCGGCUUAUCAGCUUGUUGGUGGGGUAGUGGCUUACCAAGGCUUUGACGGGUAGCCGGCCUGAGAGGGUGACCGGCCACAUUGGGACUGAGAUACAGCCCAGACUCCUACGGGAGGCAGCAGUGGGGAAUAUUGCACAAUGGGCGGAAGCCUGAUGCAGCAACGCCGCGUGCGGGAUGACGGCCUUCGGGUUGUAAACCGCUUUCGCCUGUGACGAAGCGUGAGUGACGGUAAUGGGUAAAGAAGCACCGGCUAACUACGUG
rnacentral:rRNA from 1 species